rnacentral:lncRNA from 1 species
CACAAAGGGGGGAAAAUAUUCGAAAAAUUUGAUAGGGGUGCACAGAGAGUUGUUUACAUCAAAUGGAAAGCAUCACAGAACCGAGCUGAAGCUGAUUGCGGGAUAGUAAGCACACGGGACGAAAGGGGUCAUGUGAACAGAGAAAGCAUCGCUAAUGGCAUGGCGCCUAAAAUAUGGCUCCACCUAGGCAUUGUCCUUGAAGCUCUUAGUUGAACUUUACGUGAUGGGACGAAUUAAAUUAAAGUAAUUACCUGGGGCACUCAAGUGCGGCUUGAUAUCGAGAACGUAAAUCAAGACGAUAAGAAGACAGCGAUGGACGAAAUCCGGAGAAUAAAGAUGCGCUAUGAGAUUUUCGGCUUCGACCUGAGUUGUCGACUUUUGUGAUCCCUAAAUGUGGCUUUUCUUUCCUAUCUCCAGCGAUUCCGUUGAUUUGUGAUGAAAAGUAUUUUUUAAAAACCCUCCGACAAAUUUUCUUUCCAUUAGGUACGAUAAUAACGCUAAGAUACAAACAAAAAGCUUGAAAUAUUAUUCGUUAAAUUAGGCGAUGUUUUGUUUACCGCCACCCUCGGUUUAGACUUAACUUGCAAUAACGGGGUUCUUAUCAGUCGACAAGUUUUCAGAGUGCGAGGUAAACAAUAACACGCCGAAAUGAAUCUGAUAAGAGAAAAGUUUUGCUUAUUUUUCUCCGUACAUUCAGAAUUGUGCUUUAUUUUUAAAAUUAAAAGUGAAGGAAAAAAUUAACUUCAUUCAUAACUAUGCAGGGUAUUUAUGUUUAAUCUUUAGUUUUCCUGUGUAAUAUUGAUUUCUGUGGCAAGUAUGACUUUUCGGGAAAAAUUCAAAUAUUAUAAACAGAAGAAUCCCAAGCCUGGAUUUGAGGAGGUUCUAGAUUUUUCCCAGCUGGAGAGUAAUGUCAAGGGCAUUUCAAGCAGAACAAGUGUAUGCGAACCUACUGAGGAAGAUUUAUCAUCUCUCGGUUUACAAGAAGUUAAUCAGUGGCAUAUUUUGAACUAAUUGACAAACCAGGUUUGUGAAUUUAAGUAAUUGAAAUUGCAUUCUGCUGCUGUCACAGUUUUGCUGGGGAUCUGUUUCGGUUUAGUACUUUUGCUAUCACAUUGUGACCUUUUGAAUAUUUUUAAUAGAAAAUUGUACUUACUUUGUCAGGAUUGAAUCGAGGGGAUUUGAAUUUAUUGAAUUUAAAAAAGGAAGUUGGAUGAUAAAGAGUAAAGUCAUUUUUGGACUCAUCAGCCGAAAAUAUACGGAAAUGUAAUUAGCAUGUCUCAGAAAUUUUCUUGCUCUUUCUGAUAUAGUAUUUUCAAUGAAAUCACGGAAAUCGCCUAUUUGCUGAAUGUAUCUCAAUAUCUCAUUAAAUUGAGUCUAAAAGGAAAGGGGAACAUUUUCUCUGCAUGUUUGUAUACCUACUUAGGAUUGAUCCUAUGAAAUGCUUGCUGCUGAAUCCAAAAGUGACCUCAAUUUCUGUCUAUUUUUUUUCAAUUCUGGAAUUCAUUAGGCAUUCAAAUUGAUUGAAACAAGUGGCGUUCUACACCCUAAGUACUAACAAUAAACCAUCCAAAUUUCUAUAAAAAAGAUAUUUUGCAAAUUAAAAUUAUGACUUACAAGUUAUGUUACAACUAUCAAAAAUCAGAUAUUUAGAUGGAGGAUUUAUACAAGGGAGUUAUUUCCAGAUAUUUACCUCUGGGAGGGAGUAGGGAUGAUAAGAGCAUGAUCCCCACUCCCUCCAACAAUUAAAAAACUGAUCAAUGAGGCAUUAGGGUCAGGCCCGCCACAAGGGGAAGGGGGGGAAUACUGGGUCCCUGGUACCGGGGCCCGGGCCCU